rnacentral:rRNA from 1 species
GUGAACGCUGGCGGCGUGCCUAACACAUGCAAGUCGAACGGGUGUUUGCCUGUAGCAAUACAGGUAAACAUUAGUGGCAAACGGGUGAGUAAUACAUGGGUGAUCUACCUCCGAGUGGAAAAUAACCCCGAGAAAUCGGGGCUAAUGUUCCAUAAGACCAAAAUCUUUCCUAAGAAAGAUACGGGUCAAAGUCCCGCAAGGGACGCUUGGAGCUGAGCCCGUGGCCUAAUCAGCUAGUGGUGAGGUAACGGCCCACCAAGGCUAAGACGGGUAGCCGGCCUGAAAGGGCGAUCGGCAACACUGGAACUGAGACACGGUCCAGACUCCUACGGGGAGGCAGCAGUGGGGAAUUUUGGACAAUGGGGGCAACCCUGAUCAGCAACGCCGCGUGAGGGAUGAAGGUCUUCGGAUUGUAAACCUCUUUUGCAGGGGACGAAUCACGCCGUGAAUAACGGCGAAUGACGGUACUCUGCGAAUAAGCCACGGCUAACUACGUGCCAGCAGCCGCGGUAAUACGUAGGUGGCAAGCGUUACUCGGAAUUACUAGGCGUAAAGCGCAGGUAGGUGGUUGGGUAAGUCCGUAAUGAAAUCUCCCGGCUUAACUGGGAGGGGUUUAUGGAAACUGCCUGACUCGAGUGUGGGAGAGGUAACUGGAAUUCCCGGUGUAGCGGUGAAAAUGCGUAGAUAUCGGGAGGAAAACCAAUGGCGAAAGCAGGUUACUGGCCCAAUACUGUCGCUGAGCUGCGAAAGCUAGGGGAGCAAACAGGAUUAGAUACCCUGGUAGUCCUAGCUGUAAACGAUUGUAGACCAGAUGUGGGGGGUAUCGACCCCCUCCGCGUCGACGCUAACGCAUUAAGUCUACCUGCCUGGGGAGUACGGCCGCAAGGUUGAAACUCAAAGGAAUUGACGGGGACACCGCACAAGCGGUGGAGUAUGUGGUUUAAUUCGACGCAACGCGAAAAACCUUACCUGGGCUCGAACGACUGGAAGUAAGAUCCAUGAAAGUGGAGGAUGACCUGUAAAGUCAAGGUACCAGCCGAGGUGCUGCAUGGUUGUCGUCAGCUCGUGUCGUGAGAUGUUGGGUUUCAGUCCCGCAACGAGCGCAACCCCUAUGUCCCUAGUUGCUAACGCAAGGGGCACUCUAGGGAGAACUGCCACGGAUGACAGCCUGGGAGGAAGGUGGGGAUGAACGUCAACUCACUCAUGGCCCUUAUGGUCAGGGCUUCACACGUCAUACAAUGGCCGGUACAGAGGGUGCCAAUCACGCGAAGGCGGAGCCAAUCCCUAAAGCCGGUCCCCUAGUCGGAUUGCAGUCUGCAACUCGACUGCAUGAAGUCGGAAUCGCUAGUAAUCGCGGAUCAGCAUGUCGCGGUGAAUACGUUCCCGGGUCUUGUACACACCGCCCGUCACACCAUGGGAGUGGGGUGCACCAGAAGUAGGUAGGCUAACCGCAAGGGGCCGCCUACACGGUACGCUU